rnacentral:tRNA from 1 species
GGGACGCUAGCUCAGUAGGUAGAGCACUGCCCUUUUAAGGCAGGUGUCCCGGGUUCAAAUCCCGGGCGUCUCA